CUGUUCCCCGCAUGCCCUCAUGGAGUCUCAGGAGAUGAGAUGAAGCUGCUCCCUUUUCUCCUGGGGUACCGGUGGGCCUCUGGGCGGGGGGGGUCACACCUGGGUCACAAGACUGGCUCAGUCCCCUUAAAAAGAGUGGCAGGCGGAGGAGGGCUUCGGAGUCCACAGGCACCCUUCUACGGGUGUCUGCAUUUCCGGCCCUUUCUGAGUGGCGCUGUGUGUGUGUGUGUGUUUAGCAUCUGCCCUCCCAACUUUUCCAGAUUUUACCCGUCAGAUUCCUGGCAGCUGUGCACGGCGCCUGUGCCGGCCGUCACGUCCCAUUCCGAUCUCUGGGUCGCACGGUAAGAGGAGGACACAGGAUGCGCAGGGAGUGAAAAAGUGAUGUCGGUGGGGAGAGUGCCAAGUCCCCACUCGCAGCCAUGGGACACUUGGGGAGCAGGGGAAGCAUGCCGCUGCAGAGUUCAGAGGCCGGUAGUGAGGUUUAUUUUUGUUUGUAUGAGUAAAAAGCUGCAGAAGCCUCUGGUGGGGGUGAGGGGGGUGCAACCGGAAUGCUGUGGUUCAGACAGACUGGCCCUGGCAUGGAGUCAAGCGUGCUGACCCGGAAGGAGAGUUCCACAGGAACCUUCUAACAGCAGCUGAGGUUGGGCCACAGUGAUCCCUGGAUAGUGCCCUUGGAACCCAAGCAACACACGGACACUCUGAAUCAGGUAUGGGAGUUUCCUGGAGCAAGCUGGCAGAGAACUGGGAAAGAGAUCAUAUACAAUAAUACCUAAGGAGGAAGCUAACAGGCUUGGGUCUCCAGGAAAAACUUUUGCAGGUUAAGUUCCUUCUCUACGGUGGAGAUGAUCUUAUGAUGCUUACCGCUGCAAGCUGAGACACUGAACAUUACAAGUAACAGCAAUUCAAUGAGCUGACACAGGAGGUGUGGCACUUGGAGAACCUGGAUCAUGAAGCAGAGCAAGACCAGGAGAGGGCCUUCUG
rnacentral:lncRNA from 1 species